UCCACAUAAGGGUCGUAUCUUCUUCCUUAUCUUCCUCCAGAAAGCAAGAGGGUGAUUUACAUUUGUGCAUUCUGUCUGGGCAGCACCUUCCCUGAGGCUGCGGAGAAUGUUCGCUUUCAUGUCACCAGAGAAAUGAGGGUGGUGGGGUGAUAAGAAAGCAAAGGCACCUACCUCUUGGGUUAAUUGUGGACUUUGGUUUCCUGUGACUUGGUUUCCGGCUGACUCUUGGAGCUCUGGGAGAGUUGUGUACAUUUCAUCAGCCUUGCGGAGGAGAUAAGGGGAAGGUGACCUCAUGGCAGAGCUUCUGUACAUUUGUGUGUCUCGGGAUAAACACUCUAGUGGAGCUUCUUGGUCUGUGUUUCUCGGUACUGUUCUUCACUGGCUCAGAUGCUGAGCCGCUCUUUCCUCAAGAUUCUACUAAUGACCAAUUUGAGUCAUGAUGGGCAAGAUGAGUUUAUGAGCUCUUCCAACUCAGUCGUAACAGAGCAUGGGCUGGACCCAAGGGCCCUGCCUUGCAGCCAGUGCUGGGGUACACAUGAUGCUAGCUCCCACCCAGUCAUCUGGUCCCUAGAGAUCAACAUUAUCAACUCAACUUACCCCUUCAGGUGUGAACUUCCCUUAUGCUUGACGGUGGCUUCCAGUAAAUCUCUGUUUCCAGUUGGCCAAACUUGGCUCUCAGUAUGUGAAGCAGACUCAUUUGCCAAGUCAAUUCGUCAGAAGAACAAUUCACCCAAUUACCAGAGACUGAAGUGUCCAUAUAGGGCCCAACUCCAUCUCUCACCCCAGAAGCUGUCAGAAAAGUGUCCUCCUCUGAACACGAGACAGUUUGCAGAGUCACAGUAAAAGGCAGGUGAAAAGCAGAAGCAAGUUUAUUUUGCUGUAAAAGGGGGAUAGUGCUGUCGAGUUCCAGGGGUAUUGUUAGGAUUAACUCAGCUAAUACCAAAAAAGCAGGUGAUAUUCAGCACCCAACAAAUGUUAGUGAUUAUUACCAUCAUAAUAAUUAUCAGUUUUAAUUUCACACAUGGAUGUAAAUUAUAGGUAUUAAACUGUACAUUUGAUGGAAGGUGAAAAUAACCAUUUAAAUAGGCAUGCCAGGAAAAGAAGAAAGGUAGCAAUCCCCAGGGCCAAUUCAGUGCUCCAUACCCUUGGUCUCACCAUUUACACAGGGAGGGGAGAGGGGCUGGAGAUGGAGUUCAGUCACCAAUGGACAAUGAUCUAAUCAGUUGUGAUUAUGGAAUGAAGCCUUCAUGAAGCCCCAGACAGCAAGAGAGCUUCGGGGUUGGCGCAUGCGUGGAGAAUGCCAGGAGAUGGUGGAAGCUCCAAGCCCCUUCCUAUGUGCCCUGCAGAAUGUAUCUCUUCCAUCUGGCGGUUUCUGAGUUAUGUCCUUUUAUAAUAAACCAGUGACUAGUGAGUAAAAUGUUUCUCUG
rnacentral:lncRNA from 1 species